AGUUCAGGUAUUCUGCAAGAACAAUUCUAUUGUGUAGAGGUUUUUUUUUUUUUGUUUUUUGUUUUUAAUACAAAAUUCUAACCAUAAAACUUACUCUUUUGUUUAAAAAAGCUCCAAUGUAAUAGAGUUAUUUCUUUUCUGACAAACACAAACAAUGGAUUUGGCAUGGGAAACUUCUUUCUCUAGAAAAGCUUUUGUUAAGGUCCUGGAAAUACACCCUCAUCUCUUCUAGAAUAGCUUUUGUUUGCUUGUUUGUUUGUUUGUUUGUUUGUUUUUCUGGGGACAGGGUUUCUCUGGGCAGCCUUGGCUGUCCAGAAGCUCACUCUGUAGACCAGGCUGACCUAGAAGAUCUGCCUGCCUCUGCCUCCCCAGUUCUGGGAUCAAGGUACGUGCUACCACUGCCUGGCCAAUUUUUUUUUAUUGUUGUUCUUUGUUUUGUUUUAAUUUUGAUUUCUCUAGUUAGGGUCUCAUAUACCAUAUCCUCAGGAUGGCCUUGAACUCACAUAAAUCUUCAAUCUUUCUGCCUCAGUCUUCCCAGUGUUUGGUUUAAAAAGCAUCUUACAACUAUAAAAGCAGUUCAAGGUUAGGCUGCUGUUGGGCAUGGUCCCCCACCUAUAACUAUAGCACUUGGGAGGCCAAAGCUAUUCAACAGCCCAGGUUACACAGUGCAACCCUUUCUCAACAGCAGGCAGACAGGUGGGCACGCAAACAGAUGGGUGGAUAAACUAAGGCUCUUAUCCAUGUUAAUGUAUUAAGUUCUUCAUGAAACAAAGGAUACAAUAAAUAAAUCUUUCCUCUCUGAGUCCCUUCAUAUAGGUAGGCAGCAAAUACUUACUGUUGAGACGAAUGAGUCUAAUAAGUAAUCCUUGUUCUGUCUAUAGCACCUUUACAAAGUUCAGACACAGAGUUACAUAUUUGUUGAAUGUGUAAAUUUACUUAAUUAAUGAAUUUUAGAGUGGAAUUUUGAGGUUAGAGUUUUCUUCUCUAACUGAUUCUACCUGUGUUCACACAAUUCUAGAUUGUAAUUUUCUAGGUACUGUGCUAAUAAGAACUUGAGCAUGAUAUAAAACAAGGAUAUGUGUUAAAUGACACACAGAAAAAUGCAUUACAGUCAUAAGUACAAUAUAAAUAAAAUAUUUGUACCUGCUGCCUCUCUACGAGUUCUGUUCUGUUUUGCAGAGGGAUCAUAUGAAAAUUGCCCAGCAGUUUUUCCAGUUGGUAGGAGGAUCAGCUAGUGAAUGUGGUAUGUCUAUGAUCUGUCCUUUUGAACACAGUUCAUAUUUGCAGUUGGACAAUAUUGACUGGUGGAGUCUGCGUGUCUAGAGAUAUAUGUUAUGCUUCUUGCUAUGAAGCAACAAGUUAGAAAUUGGAGAGGAAGGCUGAGGAUGUAGCUCAUUUUGUAGUUUGAUCAACUAGCACUUGGGAAGCCUUGGGUUUGAUCCCUUAGCACCACAUUAAGUAAACAUCAUAGGUGGUACCUAUAAUUCUAGCCCUCGGGAAAUAGAAACAGUACCAUUAGAAGCUCAAAGAAUAAUUAGCUCCACUGUGAAGGAUAUCCUGGGUCACAGGAGACCCUGUUGCAACAAUCACACACACACACACACACACACACACACAAAUAAACACAACAAUAAGAGAAAAUAUCAGCAUUUUCCCUUUUGAACAUACCAGUGAAAGAGGAUAAGAGAGGGCUAGAGAGAUGGUCAGUGGUUAAGAACAUCUGCUGCUUUUCCAGAGGAGUCAAGGUCAGUUCCCAGUACCCACAUCAGGUGGUUCACAACUGCAUGUAAGCCCAGCUCCAGGGGAUCCAGUAUUCCCUUCUGGCCUCCACAGGCCCCUGCGUUCACAUGUGCACAUACGUAAAAUACAAAUAACUUUGUUUUAAAAAAUGGAUAUGAGAUUAGAGAAAUGACUCGUCAGCUAAGAGCACUGUUUGCUCUUACAGAGAACCUGAAUUCAACUCCCAACACCCACAGGACAACUCACAACUGUGUGUAACGCCACUCCUAAGAAACUGAUGUCUUCUGGCCUCCAUGGCAACCAGGCACACAUGAUAAACAGACAUAUGUUUAAGCAAAGCACUAAUACAUGC
rnacentral:lncRNA from 1 species